AUUGAACGCUGGCGGCAGGCCUAACACAUGCAAGUCGAGCGGAUGAAGGGAGCUUGCUCCUGGAUUCAGCGGCGGACGGGUGAGUAAUGCCUAGGAAUCUGCCUGGUAAUGGGGGAUAACGUCCGGAAACGGGCGCUAAUACCGCAUACGUCCUGAGGGAGAAAGUGGGGGAUCUUCGGACCUCACGCUAUCAGAUGAGCCUAGGUCGGAUUAGCUAGUUGGUGGGGUAAAGGCCUACCAAGGCGACGAUCCGUAACUGGUCUGAGAGGAUGAUCAGUCACACUGGAACUGAGACACGGUCCAGACUCCUACGGGAGGCAGCAGUGGGGAAUAUUGGACAGUGGGCGAAAGCCUGAUCCAGCCAUGCCGCGUGUGUGAAGAAGGUCUUCGGAUUGUAAAGCACUUUAAGUUGGGAGGAAGGGCAGUAAGUUAAUACCUUGCUGUUUUGACGUUACCAACAGAAUAAGCACCGGCUAACUUCGUG
rnacentral:rRNA from 1 species